rnacentral:rRNA from 1 species
GGAUGAACGCUAGCGGCAGGCCUAAUACAUGCAAGUCGAACGAGAUUAAGAGGCUUGCUUCUUAUGAAAGUGGCGCACGGGUGCGUAACGCGUAUGCAACCUACCCUAAUCAGGGGGAUAGCCCGAAGAAAUUCGGAUUAAGACCGCAUAAAAACACAGGAUAGCAUUAUCCAAUGUUCAAAUAUUUAUAGGAUUAAGAUGGGCAUGCGUGUCAUUAGCUAGUUGGCGGGGUAACGGCCCACCAAGGCGACGAUGACUAGGGGAUCUGAGAGGAUGACCCCCCACACUGGUACUGAGACACGGACCAGACUCCUACGGGAGGCAGCAGUAAGGAAUAUUGGUCAAUGGAGGGAACUCUGAACCAGCCAUGCCGCGUGCAGGAAGACAGCCCUCUGGGUCGUAAACUGCUUUUAGUCGGGAAUAAACCUUUCUACGUGUAGGAAGCUGAAUGUACCGAAGGAAUAAGGAUCGGCUAACUCCGUG